ACUGGGCCCGGUCCAUUGACCGGCCCAGCCCAAAUUUUGGCCUCACGUGCGUCGCACGUGAGGGCGUGUGAGAGCGGGGGAGCCAUCCCGAAGAAGCCGGCUCCCCCAUUCUUUUUAGGGCUUCUCCUCUCUUUGAAGGGAUGGGAAGAAGAGCCGCUGCCGACCGAGAGAGAGGGAGAGAGGAGGGAGAGAGAGAGAGAACCAUUAAAAAGGUGGGUCUUCUUCGGCACGGGUCUUCCUCUUCCUCC
rnacentral:lncRNA from 1 species